rnacentral:rRNA from 1 species
ACCUAGUAAGCGUAUGUCAUCAGCAUGCGUUGAUUACGUCCCUGCCCUUUGUACACACCGCCCGUCGCUACUACCGAUUGAAUGGCUUAGUGAGGCGUUCGGAGAGCCUAUAAAGAGCUGGCAACAGCACUUUACUGGUUCAAAGUUCUACGAACUUGGUCAUUUAGAGGAAGUAAAAGUCGUAACAAGGUUUCCGUAGGUGAACCUGCGGAAGGAUCAUUAUUAAAAAAAGUUCAAGAGUGCACUUCAUUGUGGCUCUAAACCUUUUUCAAUAUACCUUUCACCCUUUUUUAAACCCAAAGCUGUUAUGUGUGCCUUCUUGGUAUAGCAUCUCAGUAGUACGCAUCAUGUGUUAAUUCACAAGUUGCAUUACCCCCCUUUUUUAAAUUUAACACUAUAAAAAGUUUUUAGAAUGUAAACCCCCUUUAAAUUAAUAUAACUUUUAACAAUGGAUCUCUUGGCUCUCACAUCGAUGAAGAACACAGUGAAAUGUGAUAAGUAAUGUGAAUUGCAGAAUUCAGUGAAUCAUCGAAUCUUUGAACGCACCUUGCACCUUUUGGUUAUUCCGAAAGGUACACCUGUUUGAGUGUCAUGAAACCCUCUCAUUCCAAUUUUUUAUUAAGUUAAGAAGUUGAAAUGGAUGUUGGGUGUUGCCGUUAUUGGCUCACCUUAAAUAUAUAAGUACUUUUAUUGAGAAAAUAAAUGGAUAUACUUGGUGUAAUAUUUAUUAUUCAUUGAGGAGUGUGGUGCCUUAAAAACACUACAGCCAUUUGAACUUUUGAUAGAUAGCUUCCGAACCCUAAUAUAUAUAUCAUUUAGACCUCAAAUCAGGUGGGACUACCCGCUGAACUUAA